UUCUCAAAAUGCAGAAUAGUUGCUGAGAAACGCUGUGGAAAGUGUGGACAAUCUCUGUAUUCUGCAUCUUGGAAAAAGUGUGUUCCCUUGGGGAAGUAACCUAUUGGACGCAUAGGCUUAGGAACAUCUUUCCAAGCUGUUUAUUGCAACGUUUAGUUCUACAAUGUCUACCCUGUAACAUACUAUCUGGAACCAGAGGUUUCUUCAGCAAGAGGAACAUUAGGUGUUGCAGUUAUCUUCCAACUUCCAUAGAGCAAGGACUCUUAACAUGGCUCUCACUGGUUUGUAUGCAGCUUUGGGUUUACUGUUUGGAGCAGCAACAGCAUUUGGUCCAGUACCAAGAAUUACAUGGGAACACAGAGAAGUACAACUGAUCCAUUUUCAAGAACCGGAAGUGUUUAACUAUUCAACUUUAUUACUAAGUGACGACAAAGAUGUUUUGUAUGUAGGAGCUAGAGAAGUGAUAUUUGCAUUAAAUUCAGUGAAUAUUGCUGAAAAACUUAAUGAGUUAUAUUGGAAAGUCACUGAAGAAAAAAAAACUAAAUGUGCAGACAAGGGAAAAUCCAAACAGACGGAGUGUCUUAACUAUGUGCGUGUCUUGCAACCGCUGAAUGAUACUGUCCUCUACGUUUGUGGCACAAAUGCAUUUCAGCCAAUCUGUGAUCAUCUGAAUGUAAUGUCAUUUGAACUUGGAGGUAAAAAUGAAGAUGGUAAAGGCAGAUGCCCAUUUGACCCUGCCCAAAGCUACACCUCUGUUAUGGUUGAUGGAGAGCUUUAUUCGGGAACCUCUUAUAACUUCUUGGGGAGUGAACCCAUUAUUUUUAGAAACUCUCAUCAGAGCCCACUGAGAACAGAAUACGCAAUACCUUGGCUUAAUGAGCCCAGUUUUGUUUUUGCUGAUGUGGUGAGAGCAGAUCAGAACAGCACCGAGGGAGAUGACGACAAAGUGUACUUCUUUUUCACCGAGAUGUCUGUGGAAUAUGAAUUUCUUGGGAAGUUGAUGAUUCCAAGAAUAAGUAGAGUGUGCAAGAGGGACCAAGGAGGAUUAAGAACUUUGCAGAAAAAAUGGACCUCCUUUCUCAAAGCCAGAUUGAUCUGUACAACACCCGAUAAGAAUUUAAUUUUCAACAUCAUCAAUGAUGUUUUUAUUCUGAAGUCCCCAAGUCUGCAGGAACCAGUGAUUUAUGGAGUUUUUACCCCACAACUGAAUAAUGUAGGACUCUCUGCAGUGUGUGCUUAUAGCUUAUCUACUGUAGAAGAGGUUUUCUCCAAAGGAAAGUAUAUGCAAAGUGCCACGGUCGAACAGUCUCAUACAAAGUGGGUCCGAUACAAUGGGGAGAUACCUAAUCCUCGACCUGGAGCUUGUAUAAACAAAGAGGCAAAAGCAGCAAACUACAUGAGUUCUUUAAAUUUACCAGACAGAACACUACAAUUUGUUAAAGACCACCCUCUGAUGGAUGACUCAGUGACCCCGAUCGGGGACAGACCCAGAUUAAUGAAAAGAGAUGUGAGGUAUACACAGAUCGUAGUAGACAGAGUCUCAGCACUCAAUGGCAGUGUGUACGAUGUUAUGUUUAUUGGUACAGAUAAAGGAGCCCUGCACAAAGCUAUUAGUUAUGAAAAUGGAGUGCAUAUUAUUGAAGAAAUACAGCUUUUUCCAAAUUUUGAGCCAGUUCAGACCCUGUUGCUUUCAUCAAAAGAGGGAAAAAGAGAUCUCUACGCAGGUUCCAAUUCUGGUGUGGUUCAGUCUCCCAUUGCAUUCUGUGACAAGUACAGCACUUGUAUUGACUGUGUUCUAGCUAGAGAUCCCUACUGUGCUUGGAAGUCACGUGAAGCUUCCUGUGUUAAUAUUCUUAAAGAAGGUGAAAUUGAAAGGGAUUGGAUUCAGAACAUAGCUGGUGAUGCCUCUUCUUGCCCUGAUAAAGUAAGAGAGCAUUCUCUGCAGCAUACAUUCAAGCAUGGGAGCACAGCAGAACUGAAAUGUUCUCAAAAAUCCAACCUGGCCCAGGUAGUUUGGAAAUUCAAAGAUGAUGUAUUGAAAGUUGAGCGCCCCAAGUAUCGUCUUCUGGAGAAAGCACUGCUCAUUUUUAAUUUAUCAGAAGGAGAUAGUGGCAUUUAUCAGUGUUUGUCAGAAGAAAAAGUGAAGAAUAAGAAUUUUUCUCAAGUGGUGGCUAAACAUGUUUUGAAACUGAAAAAAAUCCAGCCUAGUACAGUGGGCCCAACCCAGACAGCAGCACAGACAGAAGGUAAUACUGAUGUAGCAAAAAUGUCAACUGUACCAACAGAAGGGUCGACUGCUCAAACUUCGACCACCCAGAUUAUACCAAUAACAACAGGAAAGAUAAUAACAAAGCCAAUUGGCCCCAUCCUAACAAGUGCAGACUCCAGUCUUGAAAUCUUCAAUUCUGUUCCUGACGACGUCCCUCAAAAGACAUUGUUCUUAAAGUCAAAUGAUAAUUUCCUUUUAAUGUUUCUCUUUCUGUUCUUUUUUAUUCUCUUCCUAAGUCUGUUGUCCUACAACUGUUACAAAGGGUAUUUACCAGCCCAGUGUUUGAAAUUCCGCUCUGCUAUGUUAUUUGGUAAGAAAAAAUCCAAAUCAGAUUUUUCUGAUUGUGAGCAAAGUGUAAAAGAAAAUCUUGUGGAGCAAGGCAGUAUCCAGAAUCAAAAUGGAGAGCAGCCAAAGCCAGCUCAUGACACUGGGUAUGAGACUGAACCAGACUGUGGAAAUGGUCAGAUUCAACAUGACAAGGACUCCUUACAGGCUCACAAAGAAGUCAAGGACAAGCCUUUUGAUGUUAAGUGUGAACUAAAAUAUGCAGAUUCAGAUGCAGAGUGUGACUGAAGGAGAAAUUCCUCCACUUCAAUCAUUAAAAUAACUGUUUUUUACAGCUAAUUAUUUGAGCACGGAUACUUUGGAUGUGACAACUUAGCCAUAGAGGCUUAUGUGCGUUUAAAUGAGUCAGCGUGUCAAUUUCAAACCUCUCUAGAGUAGAAAACAAUGUUUUGGUGUAUCCACUAAUUGUAUUUGAUGUUUUUUUAAAAAUGGCCAGUGGCAGAUCACCAUUUGUUUGUUUCAGGAUCUUUCAGAGUACUUUUAACAUUUGCAAAUACAGUUACUGAUUUAUUUAAUCCCCUUUUCUUCUUCUAUAGAAUAAAAUGACUCUAAUGCAAUCAACUAAAUAAAAUACUUCCCGUCUGCACAUACUUUAGCUGCCAUUUAAAAAAAAAACUAAUUUCCUUUUAAUUCCAAAUUGGAAAUGAAGUUUAGUUUAUCAGAUUGGUAAAUUAUAGCAUUUUGUCCAGAUUGAGACAUUUCUUUGAUUCUAGUGAUUCUUAAUCUGAGUAUAAUGUUUUGUGUCUUUUGGCAAGUUGGGUAGCUUUUUGGUUUAAUUUUUUUUUAAUUUGUUGUUUGUAUAUCUUUUAGAUUUAAAUGUACAUUGGGAAAGAGCUGGCUUGUUUUGCUUAAGAUUCUCAGGGAUAAUCUUUGCUUUAAGCGCUAUCUUUUUGCUUUUUAGAAACGUAGGUACAUUUGAGUACACAAUGUAAUUUUGUGGGGAUUGCAGGAGAAUAGGUAAGAUUAAAAAAAACUAAGAUGGACACCAUCGUAUUCUGUUUCUAUAUGAAAUGGGACUUAAUUUCUUUUAAAAAAAAAAA